rnacentral:rRNA from 1 species
UACAGAGGUCUCGAGCUUUAGUCAGAAUCACUGGGCUUAAAGCGUGUGUAGGCGGAUCUGUAAGUACCUUGUGAAAUCCCACAGCUUAACUGUGGAACUGCUUGGUAUACUGCCGGUCUUGAGCCAGCUAGGGGCUACCGGAACAAAUGGUGGAGCGGUGAAAUGCGUAGAUAUCAUUUGGAACGCCAAUGGUGAAAACAGGUAGCUGGGGCUGUGCUGACGCUGAGACACGAAAGCAAGGGGAGCAAACGGG